rnacentral:rRNA from 1 species
UACGGAGGGUGCGAGCGUUGUCCGGAAUCACUGGGCGUAAAGGGAGCGUAGGCGGCAUGCCAAGCGUGUGGUGAAAGCCCGGGGCUCAACCCCGGGGUCGGCCGUGCGGACUGGCGUGCUCGAGCACUGUAGGGGCGGGUGGAAUUCCGGGUGUAGCGGUGGAAUGCGUAGAGAGUCCGGAAGAACACCGGUGGCGAAGGCGGCCCGCUGGGCAGGAAGGCUCGCAAGAGCCGGCUGACGCUGAGGCGCGACAGCGUGGGGAGCAAACAGG